UACGUAGGGUGCGAGCGUUAAUCGGAAUUACUGGGCGUAAAGGGUGCGCAGGCGGUUAUAUAAGACAGAUGUGAAAUCCCCGGGCUCAACCUGGGAACUGCGUUUGUGACUGUAUGACUAGAGUACGGUAGAGAGGGGUGGAAUUCCUGGUGUAGCAGUGAAAUGCGUAGAUAUCAGGAGGAACAUCGAUGGCGAAGGCAGCC
rnacentral:rRNA from 1 species